rnacentral:lncRNA from 10 species
UUAGGAAAAUGUCCAGAUUCCUAAGCUGAACAUAGAAAGCUCAUUGUAAUUUGGUACCAGCCUACUUUUCUAAAAAAUGGUCCAGUCAUCCUCCCUGUCUGGUGGUGCAAGAUCAGUGGCAGGGCAGGCUAGGGAGUAUGCAGGAGGAUGGCUGAGGUUCUAUGGUAAGGCAUAUCUCUACUAUACUAUCAGUAGGCAAACACCAGGAUGUGUGUCCCCUGGAAGUGCAGAGUCAGGUCUGCAGUAAACAACGCAAAUUUGAGAGUUAGAAUAAGAGCAGAAACCAAGGUAGGAAGCCAAAUUGAACCCAUUGGUGAACCAAUGAAUGAGGAGGGUUGGGAGAAAGUUAUGUCUGAAGGAAUUCCUGAGAGAUUUACACGUGUUUGUAGGAAACUUUUUUUAAAAGUUAUUUACAUGCAAACUAUGAAGGCAUAUUUGGUUUUAGGAAAAUAAACUAAAUUUGAAUAGGUAUAAACCACUUGUCACCGAGAGAUGUUAUACUGUUUCAUGUCUCUGUGCCUAUCAGAUGUCAUUGCCUCUCCCUGAAAUGCCCUCUGCUGCCUCCCUAUUCUCUAACUCCUACUUAUUCCAUAGCCCAGUUCAAGCACCAUCUCUUCUGUAAAUAGCAAUCACCAACAUAAAUUGAGCAUUUACAGUCUCCAGGCACUAUGCCAAAUGCUCUAAUACAUAAUCUCAUUUAAACCUCAUUAGGAAAGCUGCCUCUCUUUUCCUUGUUUUACAGAUUAAUAAAUUCAUGUUUAGAGAGAUGAAUUGAUUUGCAUGAGGUCAUGCAACAAUUAAGUUAUGGAAUGGAGAAUUAAGCCCAGAGGGUCUGACUCCAGAGUUUGAGCUUGUUACCACCAUUGGCCUUCACCAAUUCCCUAGGCUGAUUUGAGAUGCCUUUCCAUGUGCAUUUGUGCUUAUAUCAUCAUAGCCACAUCCAUCUCUGAUAUGAUCUUUUCUUUAUCUGUUUCUCCCAGUGGUUAAAAAGCUCCUAAAAAUCAAGAGACAAGUAUCUACCACAAAAGUAAAAUUUCAAUAAACAUUUGUUUAAUU